GACGAACGCUGGCGGCGUGCUUAACACAUGCAAGUCGAGCGGUAAGGCUCCUUCGGGAGUACACGAGCGGCGAACGGGUGAGUAACACGUGAGUAAUCUGCCCUUCACUUCGGGAUAACCACCGGAAACGGUGGCUAAUACCGGAUACGACCAGUCUUCGCAUGAGGUGCUGGUGGAAAGUCUUUUCGGUGAAGGAUGUGCUCGCGGCCUAUCAGCUUGUUGGUGGGGUAACGGCCCACCAAGGCUUCGACGGGUAGCCGGCCUGAGAGGGUGACCGGCCACACUGGGACUGAGACACGGCCCAGACUCCUACGGGAGGCAGCAGUGGGGAAUAUUGGACAAUGGGCGAAAGCCUGAUCCAGCAACGCCGCGUGAGGGAUGACGGCCUUCGGGUUGUAAACCUCUUUCAGUAUCGACGAAGCGCCCUGUCGGGUGGUGACGGUAGAUACAGAAGAAGGACCGGCCAACUACGUGCCAGCAGCCGCCGUAAAAC
rnacentral:rRNA from 1 species